UUUUUUUAGUUUUCUUUUUCAUUAACAUACUUUGAACUUCAUGUUUAAAAAGUAAGCCGCAAACGUUCCAGCAAACUUUCGUUCACCUUCACAUUCGCCAAUAGUGCACAGUGUUAGAAAGUGGAGGUCAGGCUCUACAAAGUAGACACCCUAAUUUCACUAAUGAUCCUUCCGCAGGUUCACCUACGGAAA
rnacentral:misc_RNA from 1 species